rnacentral:rRNA from 1 species
GACGAACGCUGGCGGCGUGCCUAAUACAUGCAAGUUGAGCGCUGAAGGUUGGUACUUGUACCGACUGGAUGAGCAGCGAACGGGUGAGUAACGCGUGGGGAAUCUGCCUUUGAGCGGGGGACAACAUUUGGAAACGAAUGCUAAUACCGCAUAAAAACUUUAAACACAAGUUUUAAGUUUGAAAGAUGCAAUUGCAUCACUCAAAGAUGAUCCCGCGUUGUAUUAGCUAGUUGGUGAGGUAAAGGCUCACCAAGGCGAUGAUACACAGCCGACCUGAGAGGGGGAUCGGCCACAUUGGGACUGAGACACGGCCCAAACUCCUACGGGAGGCAGCAGUAGGGAAUCUUCGGCAAUGGACGAAAGUCUGACCGAGCAACGCCGCGUGAGUGAAGAAGGUUUUCGGAUCGUAAAACUCUGUUGGUAGAGAAGAACGUUGGUGAGAGUGGAAAGCUCAUCAAGUGACGGUAACUACCCAGAAAGGGACGGCUAACUACGUGCCAGCAGCCGCCGUAA